rnacentral:misc_RNA from 1 species
AUGACGACUCACGGCGUGACG